AUGCAAGUCGAGGGGUAACGAUGGUGCUUGCACCAGGCGACGACCGGCGCACGGGUGAGUAACGCGUAUGCAACCUGCCUGUACCUGGAGGAUAGCCCUUGGAAACGAGGAUUAAUACUGCGUAAUAUAUUUGGUCCGCAUGGGCUGAAUAUCAAAACUACGGUGGGUACAGAUGGGCAUGCGUGCCAUUAGCUAGAUGGUAAGGUAACGGCUUACCAUGGCGACGAUGGCUAGGGGUUCUGCAAGGAAGGCCCCCCACACUGGUACUGAGACACGGACCAGACUCCUACGGGAGGCAGCAGUGAGGAAUAUUGGUCAAUGGAGGCAACUCUGAACCAGCCAAGCCGCGUGAAGGAAGACUGUCCUAUGGAUUGUAAACUUCUUUUUUGGCAGAAUAAAUUACCGUACUUGUACGGUAUUGCAUGUAUGCCAGGAAUAAGCAUCGGCUAACUCCGUGCCAGCAGCCGCGGUAAUACGGAGGAUGCAGGCGUUAUCCGGAUUUAUUAGGUUUAAAGGGUGUUCAGGCUGCCUGGUAAGUCAGAGGUGAAAGUCGGCCGCUCAACGGUCGAAUUGCCUUUGAAACUGUCAGGCUCGAGUAUGGAUGUGGCAGGCGGAAUGUGUAGUGUAGCGGUGAAAUGCAUAGAUAUUACACAGAACCCCGACUGCGAAGGCAGCUUGCCAAACCAUUACUGACGCUGAAGCACGAAAGCGUGGGUAGCGAACAGGAUUAGAUACCCUGGUAGUCCACGCCGUAAAACUUUGCUCACUCGCUGUUGGCGAUACACAGUCAGCGGCCAAGGGAAACCGAUAAGUGAGCCACCUGGGGAGUACGACCGCCAAGUUGAAACUCAAAGGAAUUGACGGGGGCCCGCACAAGCGGUGGAACAUGUGGUUUACUUCGAUGAUACGCGAGGAACCUUACCUGGUCUUAAUGUUCGAUGCUUGAUUGGGGAACCAUUCUUUCCUUCGGGACUUUGUACAAGGUGCUGUAUGGUUGUCGUCAGCUCGUGCCGUGUGGUGUCGGGUUAAGUCUCCAUUACGAGCGCUACCCCUAUUGUUAGUUACCAGCGCGUAAUGUCGGGACGUCUAGCGUAACUGCCUGGUGUAAACUGUGAGGAAGGUGGGGAUGACGUCAUAUCAGCACGGCCCUUAUGUCCAGGGCUACACACGUGUUACAAUGGCCGGUACAGCGGGCAGCGAGGCAGC
rnacentral:rRNA from 1 species